CCGAGUUUUUUGGCUUCUGUCAAAACUCCCACCCUUUGUUUAUUAUGUCUUCUUCGGCAUGACGAUUUGUUGGUUGCAAGACUAACAAGCCACUGGUUUUGGCGACAAAACGAGUGAGUGCUUGCCGAAGGCCUUUAACUCUAUAUUUUGAAGUCUGAGUCUAAAGAAAAUAAAUUA
rnacentral:misc_RNA from 1 species